rnacentral:sRNA from 1 species
GGCAAACAUUUGCCGCAAGUUUGCAGCAAACAUUGCCGCAAGCUUGCAGCAAAUGUUUGCUGCAAACUUGCUGCAACCAUUUUACCAUGCAAAUGAAGUUGUGGCAAGCUUGCUGCAAACAUAAUUAUGCAAAUUAGAUUUGCCGCAAGCUUGCGGCAAUUGUUUGCUGCAAGCUUGCGGCAAUUGUUUGUU